CUUAUUUUCGCCGGGUUUCAUUCGCACUGGAGUUUCCAUUUGUUUCUCCGCUCGUGGUUAUGCCGAUUACUAUCAAAGAUACGCACGUAUAGAAAGACAUUCGUUCGAAUAUGUUUGUCGUACAAAACGACGAUAUAUUGGUAAAUUAGGUUAUGACUUUGUUUUUCAAACAUACCACUAUCGAUAGGCAAGUGUAGAUGCAGUCUUUUGAAAAUUGCUUGAUUAAUAGUUCGUUCUUCUGGAAUUCAAAAUUUGAAGCAUAUAUCGAGGAAUAUUUGAAUAUAAAAGAUGUAUAACAUACAAAUAGAAAUUACCUUGAAUGCCAGGUACCCAUCCUGACGAUGUAACGAAUUUUCGAACACGAAUAAUCAGGAUAAUACGUAUUAACACUUCGCAACUACGCUGACACUUCAUGCUUGAUUUCGUUUCAAACGACUACUUUCGUUUUCAAUUUAAUCUCACGAAUUUACUUAAAAAUGUCGGCGUCCGUGCACCUUCGAUAACAUUGCAGAGAGCAACGAUACAACAUUCAACACCAUUGUUUCACGGUAUCAGCAACGAAAAGAUCGUUCUUGUUGCAACAAAUCGCCAAAUAUUGCUCAUCUUAGUUCCUCGCUGAUCGCGCCACCUGCAAAACCGUCGAGGUCUAUAAAGCUAUGUAUAUAGAUUUACGCGUAUGCACACGUAAAUUUGAAUAUCGAAGCGCGAUCGUGCAACGGCACCCCUUUAUUUCUCUUUCGAAAGGUUGAAAAAGCAGAGGGACACGAAGAGCUCGGUACAGUCGAAUACGAUAAAAGGCUAAAGAUAGAAAGAAAAAUAAUUCUAUUUUAUAUUUUAACAGAAGCGAUGCAACGAAGAAAGAGCGUGAAGUUUCAUCAGUAAACUGCGGAUGUGUUUAUGCAUCUAUAGAUAAUUAAGUGCAAAAGUCUAGAAAAUAUAUGUAUAUAACAGGCAAAAAUAUAUAAGAUAUCCAAAGUCGAGUGCUUGUUGUAUUAUUUAGUAAGUAAAACGAGUUUCCAUUUAGGUUCCAUUCCUUUGGUUAUCUUUAUGAAGAUAUAAAGUUGCAUAAACACAAACAAUCGCAGUUUAUUUAUUAGGAAUAGGACGAACGAGGACAGUCGCGUAAUAAAUCCGAACGCUCACGCACACUCUUGAUGCAUAAACACAAUAUGUUAUAUAUACACUAUAUACAUCCAUAGUAUAUACAUAUGUAUAUGCAUUAGCGGAUUAACGAAACUCGCCUAAUUAUCGCCUACUACGGAUUAAUUACACCAUUCAUCUGUCUUUAUCGAUCCUUUCGUUCGGUCGCAUCUGUUUCCCUUUGGUUCCCCUUUCUCCGCGUUCUAUAGUGUAAAUAAGAAGCUCAUAGAGACGAUGUAACGAUGUAAUGGAGUUAGUAGGAUUAACAAAAUAGUAGCAAAGGUGAAAACUUUAAAGCAUAUAGUAUAUAAGAGUCUCACGAGACGAGGUACACUAUAAAGUAAGUAAUGUUAUACUGGCGAGAACUGGGUUCCCAGUUGGGCCAAUAUUCGAUAAAUAUCGGCGUGAAGGAUCUAGUUACUUUUUUUUUUAUCUCCUUAGUUCGUUCGUGAUCGCGUAACGGUCGUUGCUUUUUUCGGAUGGUAGAAGGCAGAAGCCAAUCUCAACGUGACAUUGCCCGGAAUCGUUGGUCAUAAGCAUAAGAAUUAAUUUUAAGUUUCUUCGCUUCGCGAAACAACAUGUACGAUACAAUCACCCGUGGUUUUACGCGUUUCCCCAGUUUCUUGCUGCUUCUCAACUAUAUUUUAAGAGUCACGACGAAUCGUGCAAAAUUUAAAUACUGCAUAAUUUACUUUAAAAAGAUUUGUUCUGGAAAUUACUGUAUAUCGAAAUAGAUCACACAGGCCAGAUUAGGGAUAAUAAUUAUAAACUUAAUUAACGUGGAUGCUAGUAAAUAUGGAACGUGACUGUGUAAAUUGCAAUAUACGUCAAUAGUAAUUUCAGUUGCAGCUGAUAUCAAUCGCGUACAGUAUCGUAAUUGCCAAUACCCACUAAAACAUAUAUUGGUCAGCUACCAAUGUCAUAUGAGUAAUUAUCGAUCGUAAUUAAUAAUCGUUAAUGCAAUUCUGUAGAAAAAUUGAAAUCAGUUUAAUUGAGUUUGCGAUAACGUUGGACAGUUAUCUUCUUUUUUUUAUUCGACAGAAACUGGGGUAACGAUAUAUGAAUUUCACGUAUGAUUAAUCCUUAAACGCUGAUUGCAUCCGGUGACCUAAAUCCCAGUAGAUUCCUAACCUAAUUGCAGGCACAUGACACGGGGCAAACGUAACACAUACAAAAUCGGUAAAUUCUCGGGUAAUUUCUCGAAUAUAGGUUUGAAAUGUUAUACGUACGUGAUUACAAGGCUAAAAUCACUGAAAUUGGCGAUCGCUUUAACGUGGAGACGAAAUUUAUCGAGAAUCGUUAGAUGCAACGAAAUGCUGGGUUGAAGAGCCUUAAUGAGAGAAGGGAACCUGAUGGGUAAUCGAAUUUAUUGAAAACUUCGCAAGGAACACAUCGGACGUUUUCGUUGUCGUUUUAAAAAUUUAUGUUUCGUUCUUAGGAAAAGUGAUAUCAUGCAUUCAUAAAGAAUUUGAUAUAAAAAUGAGAAAAUAAAUUCGAUCGAACUUGUAUUUGAAACUGUUGAGAAAUUGCUCGUAAAAGCUGCAUGGUGGACAUCAGUUUCGUGAAUAAUCGCAUCGCGUGCGAAUCUUUCACGUAUACAUGAACGUGUUGAGAAAACAAGAAGAGUUGCACGCAACUUUACAGCAAUAAUGCUCAAACACGAGAUUAAAUGGCUACUUGUGUAACCACAUUUGUGUCGUCGAUGUUUAAUGUUCGUGGAACAAGAAAAUUAGUAAAAAAAAAAAAUGUUGUAUUAAAUGUUCAAUUAUACUUGGUGUAAUACUCAAUAAGGAAAUAAGAAAACGUGUCAAUAAUAUUAUUAUAUGGAACGCCAUGUUUUUUAAAUUGAAACGACUGGACCACACGGACGAUCGUCGAAGCGGCAGCGAACGUCGCGUUUGUUGCGAACUGGCGCUUCGACGCGAGCUCAAAGAUGAAAAAGUGAUACCUUAAUUUCGCUGAUAAAUUAACGAUUCGGCUCAUGUCUGAUAGUAGAACUAGUCGCACGUACUCCAGUCAAGUCAAAAGCAAUACUCGAAUGUAGAAUAAUUUUUCGUGUGUAAUGUCCAUGAGUAUGUACAAAUAUUCGAACACCGUUAAGUAUGGAAACUUCGAUGAUUGACCAUAUUCGAUAACACGAUAACAUGUUGCGAGUGAAACUUGUAACACGUCUCAAUAGAUGGUCGAAGCUCAUAAAUCUUAAACACGUAGAAAACAAAACUGAUACGGAGUCGCACAGCCUCGUUUGAGUUGCAUUAACAGAAAAUAUAUACGUAUAGAAAAUAAAAAUUGAUGCUGGAAGAAAGUUUCAUUUCAAAAAAAAAAAAAAAAAAAAAAAAAAGAAAAAGAAAAAAAGAAAGACAAGUGCGUAGUUUCGUUUAACGCAUAAAAGGAGGUGGUUAAUGGUAAAUUGACAGAAGUAUGAAAGUUCGAGCAUGCUAUUGGGUCAUCGUUACAAGAUUAUCUACAUAAGCAAUAACACAUUACGCCGCCUAAUAAUCAUUUUAAAAAAUGACUCCGGGUUCCCACGAGACUCGUUCUAUGUGUGACACUCGAUAGCAAACGUCCAACGAAAAAUGCGCGCGAUCGAUCGAUCAGUAUUGCUCAAGGAACUAGAAACGAGUCAAUAACGAGUCAAUAAAUUCGUAAGUCUCGUUAGUUUAAUUAAACAUUGUAGCAAGCUAACCAAAGUUUAUAGCAGUGAUAUUAAGUACAAAAAAAAAAGAACAAACGAAAAUAAAAAAAAUCGUGAAAUUUCGUAGUCAACAAAUGCAACUAUGUAUGUAUAUGUUAGUCAAAUGUCACUUUCUUCGCUCUUCGAUGUUGUUCGCGCGCAUUUUCAGUCAGUAAGAAAGAUCGGACAAAAGUGAUCGUCAAAGAUGCCGUGGUGUCGAUAAUUAAAACAAACCUGCAAAAAAUAUUUUGUACUUACAUAUAAACGAAUGGUUCGAUUUUAGUGGGAAUCUACUGAUGAUCACUUUUUUCACUUCUCGUGUCACAAGAAAUUUCUCUCUACGACUCUCACUGUUCACUGUAUUUUCCACUUCGUCUGUGACUUAUAUGCGCACGAGAAAACAUCAGUCGCAAGAUCUGCAAAGCGUUCGCAAUUAAUAAUUAAACUUUAACGAACAUAGUAGACGCACUGAGUAUAACGACGCUGGUGUUUUGUGGACGUAGAGAUCUCACGUUAUACCUUGUUUUUAUAUGAACGAUGAAAAUGACCAGGUGAAAAAAGAAUCUCUUUUUCUUCGCGUAUCUAGCAAAGAUAUUAAAAUCUGUUCCUUCUAAUUUGAGUUCUUUAAAUCGAAUUAUUAAAACAGAUACGGAUAACCUCUGAAGAACUACGUCCAGAAACAGGUGCGAAAAUGUAACAGAAGCCUCUCGCUCGAAAUUCUCCUGUCUGUCGCUAUACCUUUUCCUGUUUCGGCUUCGACUUUCCGUCUCCAUGUGGCUUUAUUCUUCUCUACCAACCAUCUACUCUAUUAUUACAUAUACCGCUUCCUGUUUAAACAACGUAAAGCCUGGUAGAAAGGUUAGCGGACACAAAACGACAAAACUGUUCGCCUACUCCCUCUAUACUGUUUUCUAUUGCUUCCCUAUUCUCUCACUAUCUGUCUCUGAUAACCUUUUGUAAAUCGAACGAAUUCUGUUAACGAAGAUGGUUUGAUGAUUCUUCGUCGAGGUGGUACGCGUGAGUUUUGAUUCGAUUCCGUGACGUUUCUAGCUUUAAGAAACGACUAUCUAAACAUAGAGGUCUGUCUUUGGAACUGCGAGCUUUCCUUAUCGAAAAAAAGGAGACUAACAAGGUUGAUAGAUACAUAAAUUUGUAGCGCAGUUUGUUGUUUUGGGAUAGUGUAAGAACGAGAUAAGAGCGCCAGGGGUAUGGAACGAGAAAGAAUAAGAGAGGAAGAAAAAAGGAGAACGAAGAAAAAAGUGCCUAUAUACAUCAGUAAAAUUAUUCGUUAGCGUGCAUUUAUGCGUUUCAACGAGUACGGACAGUGUCAAUUACAGGUAAAAAGAAGCGACAAACAAGAUACAUGUGCGUGAUGAAGACGAAAGAUACGAGCAAGGAUACGACGAAGCAAUAUCGAGCGACGAUCCGAGAUUACAAAACGCUUGCGAGUACCAAUUAUUAACAACGACUACGACGAUGACGAUAAUGAUUGCGAACUAUGAUUACUAUUAUUGUUAUUAUUGAUUGCGAACCUAAAUUAAUGAGCUAAUCGCCGUGGAGUGUCGCUCGGGUUCUGCUAGGUUAUGCUAAUGACGUUCGAGAUAGAUAUUUUGCGAUCAAUUAAAAAAUCGUUAGCCUGGAAGUUAAUGAAACGAACAAUACGAGAACACCAAAUUGUAUAAUAUAAUUAUGAUAUCGUAGGACGCAGUAAGUAUCAAUGCGUAUUAUUAACAUUGUAUAGCAGUGUAUUAUCGUUUGGAAGCCAGCUUGAAAUUUACGUUUAAUGUGACGAAGAAAACGUUGUCGUUUAGCUGAAAAAUCGUGCUUCCAAAGCAUCGUCCCACGUAGAUCCUCGUGAGCUCGUUCGACGCAUACCACGGCGCGUUAGGGACGGAUGUGAUAUAAGGUGAACCUUAACCUAACCUAUAACGCAUAUAGAUAUUGAUAUUGUAUGCAUUGUGAUAGUAUUCUCGAGGAAAAACAAAACGACACACACCAAUUCAACAACAAGAACAAAAAAAGAAAAAUAGAACAAACCGCGUAAAAAAAUCCCUGCCUCCUCCAAAGUGCGACUGAUAUUUACAGGAUAUUGUUCCAAUUGGAUGCUCCCAAGGAAGCCGGGGUAUUCAAAAGCAAUAACUUCGUAGGCGGUCGCGGAUCCUCGAUGAGGUACCUUUGCGACCGAUUAAUAUAAAUAAUAAUAACGGCGCAAAAAAAAAAGUAUGAAUAGGCCGAUGAAUUUUUAACCUUAAUAAUUUUAAUUGUAAUGAUGACUUAGCGGUGCAGGAUCACACACCGACGUUACAAGUCUGGAUCACGAACAGUCAAACAUACACACACGUACACACUAACGUAGUGAACAAUUAUUUGCUACUCGUUACGAUAAUAAACUACCGAGAAAGGAAAUGAAUAAUUAGCGAAGACGAAAAAUGAACGAAAGAGAGAACGAGUGUGUGUGAAAGGAGAGAAUACGAGCAAGAGAAUGGUAGGCAUAGGCGUAGAUAAUGAAUCAUCUUUACACGAGCGCACGCACGUGCGCGCGUGCACCCAUCCACAUAGUCAUGUAAACACAGACACACCAUACAGUGAGCCUAAUAAACGAUUUAGUAAGAGUUAUUAUUAUAAUUAAAGAAAAAAAAAAAAGAAUGAGAAAAGACGAGGAGACUAGCGAUGGCUUUUAUAAGAUGAAGUAAUACGAUGCAGCGCGACAAAACGCGCACCACUGGUUACAUUGAUAUACAUAAAUCUAUUAUAUAUAUAAAUAUAUAUAUAUAUAUUAUAUACAUAAAAAAAUAUUAUAUAUAUAUUAUAGUAUUCGAACUUUAGUUCGAAGAAAAUAGCGACGGUACGACGAAUGAGUAGAGAGCGCAAAAAUAAUAAUAUUAUGUUUCGUCGUAAAGAUUUGAAGAAAAUGUGAGCGAGAGUGAGAGAGCGAAUAUGAACAAAAAUUGUCAAAUAGAAGAGCGAGAGGGAAGUGAGUGAAUGUAACAAAAAAAAAAAAAGGAAUAACAGUAACAGAAAGAAUGAAAGAGUAGAGAAGUAAAUGCAAAAAAAAAAAAUACAAUUGUGCAGGUAUCCAUAUUUUAUAGCUUUUACGUAAGAAAUUAAACCGUACACACGCAGAACGCGAAGUUAACUAUAUAUAUUUAUAUAGAUACGUUGACACGGUAUUACCGAUGAAAUUAUAUCGAAUUACUGGUAGGCUGGCGUUAUUACGAUGAUUUAUCGCUUUGAUGAUUAGUACCGUCGUUCGCGUUAUUGCGCGUCAACGCGUGAACUUAAACAGAUACACAACAACGAGAAGAAAAUCACAACACGAAACCAACCGAGUUACUUAACAUUCGGUAACGAUUCUUUUAUCAUCGUUAUUACUACAAUCAACUGUCGUUCUUGCUACUAUUAUUUUCAUUUAUAAUUACGAUUAUUACCGGUUAUCGUCGGUCGGAUAUUAUUAUUUAUCGCGACGUUAUAAUUCUCAUUGAACGGCGAUGAAGAGAGAUACCAGUUAUAUUAUAUCUAUUAACGGAAAAAAAAUAAUACAAUUAUACCUUGCAUGACUACGUAGGGCUAUACUGCCGCCGAAGCAAUACAAAGAGCAAUAUAGAGUUAAAAGGUAAUUAACGAGAUUAAAGGUACUAAAGGUAAACGAUAUUAAUAACCGCGGAGAAAAACGCCGUAGGUAUUAUACACUGAACACUCGACACUACUCUCCUUCAUGACACUUUACACACACGUACAUAAAUACAGAAAUACGUAUUAACACACAUAAGACACGCAACAUGACAGAACACAAACAGAGACACGCACGAUUAUAAUUACUUACACGCAUGAACGCCCAGAUACUCGGGCCACAGAACACACCACAGGUGGACACUAUGUAUAGUCAUUAAUUUAUUCUGACCGUAGUGCUAAUUGUACUUAGCAUUUACGUAGAUGACACUAAUUGCCUAGGUCGACCAGCUCGUCCGGGGUUCCUGUUGCCGUGCGAGUUACACCCUCCUCUGAUCACCCCUUUAACCUCGCCGGUGUAUCUCCCUUCCGCGACGCGAACCGAAGCCACGAUCGUCGUCGACGAUGUAAUUUCCUACGGUGUAUCCGGCGGCAACGGCGGGAACCCUCGUCGAUCGAAUUUCGCCUAAUAAUGAAAUAACAAAAAAAAAAAAAACGGUAGCGAUAUAGAGUUAUUCGUAGAAUCGCUAAUGUAUUUCACUCGGUGCCUGUGACAGCUGAGCUAGCUAUCCGUUCGAGAACGAAAUGAUUGACAAUACAUUGUUGAAUAGAGUGCAACUUAUGAAGAAUCUUCAUAUUCCUUCGAAAACUUUGAUAACUGUUACCAUCUUCCUAUUCUCAGUUCACCUUCUUUUUUAUAUAUUUUUUAUCCUUGAGUAUUUCUCAUUUCUAACUUGUUUAAAACUUUCCAUAAGGUUUCUUCCUUUUUUGAAUCGUCUGAGAGAUUAUCUUUUCCCGAUUAUGGAAAUAUUAGAAGCUCAUUUCCAUCCUCUUUUAGUCUACUCGAUCCUCGAUAUUUUGUUAUUUAUUUUGUCAAAAAAUGUGUUCCUAAUAAAUCCGCUUAGUUUAUCUCUAAAGUAUUAUCUCGAGCGAAGGAUUAUUUAGCGAGCGACGGAUAAAAAGGACACUAAUCACUUGUUGUUUGUUUUCGAUGUCUCUAUUCGACAGCCAGUAAUUUCCUCUAUUUUCACCCUUCUAAUUACCUACUCACUGAUGUUUCCACAUCUGGUCGAUAACAAGUUCGACCGACUAUGACAAAGCUGUUCACGGGUACCACCUGGAAUACGUAGUAUUAGCAUGGUGUGAAAACGAUAGUGACGCUAGAUGAAUUAGCUUUAAGCUUCUUUCUCGCUAAGAGGGAACCUAUUAUUAUAAUAACGAUAUUUACAUACAUUUGUAUUAUUUGUAAACUAGCGCUAAUACAAAACUCCAAUUUGUGCAUCGACACGCGAAACAAGAAGAGAGUCCCGUUUCCCUGAACCCUUAUUCCUGGACCCACGAAGCCCAGACGAAUGAGUCAAACGAAACCAAAAAAAAGAAACAAGAAAAAACAAAGAAAAAAUGGUAAAAAAAAGUGAAAGAAAUGGAAAAUAAGCUCCCGCCCUUGUUCCUGUUCCGCUCGUCCGAACGGACUACCGUUUUUGUAACAAACAAAAUACGAAUAUGUGAGUCACAACACUAAAAGAAAAAGAACACCAGGACACUUUCGUUUCUCCGUUCCAAUUUGUAAUUUUUCGCUCUGUAACGUCUCUCGUCUAUUAUAUGUAUCUUCUCUCUCUGUAAUAUCGGGCCUUUUUCCUCCAAACGAAGUAAAACGAAAAAAAAAUGAAGGGAAAAACGAGAAAAAAGAGAAAAAAACGACGAAGAUGAAGAACACGGAAUAAGAGAACACGAACUUUACCUAUCCUGAUAUACUUCUCAUAGUGUUGGAUGGUAACGUUACAAGACAAAAGGGAAUAAAACGUUAAUUGAGCAUUGUUAUCUAUGUAAUACAACAUAGGAUGUUUUGUAUUAUAUUUUCAUAAUAAAUAGACACGUAGAAAAAGACGUAUUAACCAUA